CGGAACGGGUGAGUAACGCGUGAGGAACCUGCCUCAAAGAGGGGGACAACAGUUGGAAACGACUGCUAAUACCGCAUAAGCCCACGGGUCGGCAUCGAUCUGAGGGAAAAGGAGUGAUCCGCUUUGAGAUGGCCUCGCGUCCGAUUAGCUAGUUGGUGAGGUAACGGCCCACCAAGGCGACGAUCGGUAGCUGGUCUGAGAGGUUGAACGGCCACAUUGGGACUGAGACACGGCCCAG
rnacentral:rRNA from 1 species